AGAGUUUGAUCCUGGCUCAGAUUGAACGCUGGCGGCAUGCUUUACACAUGCAAGUCGAACGGCAGCACAGGGAGCUUGCUCCCCGGGUGGCGAGUGGCGCACGGGUGAGUAAUACAUCGGAACGUGUCCUGUUGUGGGGAUAACUGCUCGAAAGGGUGGCUAAUACCGCAUGAGACCUGAGGGUGAAAGCGGGGAUCGCAAGACCUCGCGCAAUUGGAGCGGCCGAUGCCCGAUUAGCUAGUUGGUGAGGUAAAGGCUCACCAAGGCGACGAUCGGUAGCUGGUCUGAGAGGACGACCAGCCACACUGGGACUGAGACACGGCCCAGACUCCUACGGAGCA
rnacentral:rRNA from 1 species